GCCCCCGUAGCUCAGUUUGGCAGAGCAACGGAUUCUUAAUCCGUGGGUCCUAGGUUCGAUCCCUAGCGGGGGUACCA
rnacentral:tRNA from 2 species